GACAGAGGGUGCAAACGUUGUUCGGAUUUACUGGGCGUAAAGCGCGUGUAGGCGGCCUUGCAAGUCGGAUGUGAAAGCCCACGGCUCAACCGUGGAAGUGCAUCCGAAACUGCAUAGCUUGAGUCCCGGAGAGGAAGGUGGAAUGCUUGGUGUAGAGGUGAAAUUCGUAGAUAUCAAGCAGAACACCUGCGGCGAAGGCGGCCUUCUGGACGAUGACUGACGCUGAGACGCGAAAGCGUGGGGAGCAAACAGG
rnacentral:rRNA from 1 species